UUACAAACUAUAUAUAAAAUGUGUCUCCAAGGCCAAAUUAGCCAAAACGAAUUCCAAAUCCAGGAGUCCAGCACCGUAAGUGGCCCUACUACCGGCAAACAUCCUCCACCCCCCCUGGGGCUUCAGAUGUUCCUAAAUCCUUUGGC